UAAUAAUAAAUAAACACCUUGUAUAAGUUCAAGAAUAGGCUUGAACGUUUCUACCAGCUACCGUACAAUAGCUUGUCUACAAGGAAUAAAUAGA
rnacentral:ncRNA from 1 species